GCCUGGGUGGCGGAAAUGGUAGACGCAAGGGACUUAAAAUCCCUCGGUCCAAGGGCUGUGCGGGUUCGAUUCCCGCCCCAGGCACCA
rnacentral:tRNA from 1 species